GACGUCGAUAUUCGACGUCAUAAACACGAUCAACUUUGGUGUUUAUGACGUCGAUAUUCGACGUCAUAUACACGAUCAACUUUGGUGUUUAUGACGUCGAUAUUCGACGUCAUAAACACGAUCAACUUUGGUGUUUAUGACGUCGAUAUUCGACGUC